CCAAACACACCAAAUUGGUGUGUCUGGUCGACAGAAACAAGAGAAGGGGCGACCCCCAUUGUUCCAAAACCCUAAAGUCACAAUUUCUUGCAAUUGGAGGCUCAAAUCAUAACCAAAACGAAAUCCAAGCUUAGAAUUGUGUUCCUCAUCGCAAGAGGAUUAAGAGGCAAAGAGUCCGGAUCAUCAAGCGGACAAGCCGGAGGGAAUUCACGGGGAAAAGGCGCGCUUUAAAGUUUUUCAGGUUUUCUAGUAGAUGGGUGAUGAUCAGGCAGGAGCAACUGAACCGAACACUCUAUCAAACGCUUCCGCACAUGAUCUUAUGUUUUAAAAACCAUGUAAACUAUUGUAGUUAAUGUCUUGGUACUGAUUAUGUAAGAAUUGUACAUGUUUGUGGUGUCUAGUUUGGAUUAAAAUGGUGAAACUUUUUGUUAAA